UCGGGAGUUUUUCCCAAGGUCACGGGGUCAGAAAGCAAUAGCACAGGACCCAAACGCAGAGUCCACUGCAUGACACGGAGGAUGAGACAAGAAUGGAAGGAGAAGUCACAGUUAGGGAUGAGGACUGUGCUUUGGGGAGGGGGCAGGAAAGGCAACUUGAAGCACUUUGCAGGAUGUUGGCCUCGCAAGAUGAGAGGAACUGAGCUGACAACAAGCUGAGCGAGGCUAUUUCCAGGCAAGAAGACAGAAGAAAACACUGCAUGUCUGGGAGAAGGCUUCAUUUACCCGCUGAAGAAAGCGGCGUGUUUGUCUGCUUCGCCACUCAGAGGUGGAUGGGAGCAAUAUGGCAGAGGGUCUUGAAUGCUAGGGGGAUGUGGUAAGGUCUUCCUGGAUCUAAUCAGCAAUCUGUAAAAGCUAACAAGGCACUGAUGAGGCCAAGGUUAUAUGUGAAUCUCCAGCAUUCACAAGGGAACCCAAGUGCAAGGUGUUUACAGUUUAGUACAAAGUAAUCGAUUCCCAGGGCCAAAAAAAGCAAUGGGAAGCAAUGGGAAGUGAUUUGGAGAAUUGGUAUGUGAAGGGAACCAAAGAAUGAACACCAAAGGCCGUAAAGUGGUUGAGACCAACGAUCUUUAUGGAAUCAAUGGAAUUAAAUCUAGUUCCAUAUGGCUGCUUGUUCUUUCAAUUAUUGAGUGCCUACUGUGUGGCCAGCACCAUUCCCAGGACUUGGGAUGGAUCAGUGAACAAAAUACAGUGACCAAACUCCCUGCCAUCAAGGAGCUCACCUCCUUGUGUGCUUAGUGCUGAUUCCUGACCAGGAAGAUUCUUAACUCUCAAAACCUAAGAUUCCACUUUCAUACUGUACUCUUCAGAUCCCAUCACCCCAAAGAGAAAUGCAAAUCUCUCUAGCGUGAAGCUGGGCAGCGAUGCAGAAAGACAGACACAGCACUUCUGACUCAAGAGCAAGGGCAAUCUUACCGCCGGGUGGUUACAAGGAAACUUAAGAUGGGCAGGGCGUCAAGACUUGCCUCUGAGCUGGAUCAUAAAACCAAAAGCAAAACCAAGGUGAAGGAUUGGCUGUGUGCCCCUUGAAGAUGAUUCAAGUUAGCCUGGGGUACCCUCUCUGCUUUCCACUCCCCAACUGGGAUUAACUUUGGAAUCUUCCAUAACUGUAGAGAAACUGGGGGCUCUCCAAUCCUAGCCUGGGUAAACACUACUUCAAGACAAAUCGGAAUGGCCUUGCACUGUAAAAGCAGGAAAGGCAGAUGGGAAAUAAGUCCACUCGUUUAGGUAGGAGAUAUUCUACAAUAUAGCCUUGUUCUUAGAACACAGCAGAAUGAGAGGUCUGGGAUUUUCCUCAGAAUUGCUAAAAGCAAUCUACAGAUGAAGAGAAACUGCUAAACGAUAAGCUGAUGGUCAUUGUUUCUCCCCCCUCCAAAAAAAAGAAAGAAAGGAAAAAAAAGACACCUCAAGGUCAUUCCCCUGCUCCCCAGAAAACUCUCCCCGCAGAAUUAAAAUUCCUGAAACUCAAACCAUGUGAUCUGACCAGACGCCCCGAAGACGGUUCGUGGGAGACGAGGCUCAAGCUUUUGGCUCGAGGUGAGAUGUGGAAUCUUCUCUGGAUCUCAGACUCUUUCUCGACCAACAACGCAUGUGUUUUAGAUGUUUGGCAAGGAGCUUGGUUUUCCCUGGGCGAUCGUGUACAGGAAGAGGGUGAUGACCUCCAGGAACCAAAGUCUUUGGCUCAGACAACAAGCACGUAU